rnacentral:rRNA from 1 species
GAGGAAUAUUGGUCAAUGGGCGCGAGCCUGAACCAGCCAAGUAGCGUGCAGGAUGACGGCCCUAUGGGUUGUAAACUGCUUUUGUAUGGGGAUAAAGUCAAUCACGUGUGAUUGUUUGCAGGUACCAUACGAAUAAGGACCGGCUAAUUCCGUGCCAGCAGCCGCGGUAAUACGGAAGGUCCGGGCGUUAUCCGGAUUUAUUGGGUUUAAAGGGAGCGUAGGCCGGAGAUUAAGUGUGUUGUGAAAUGUAGACGCUCAACGUCUGACUUGCAGCGCAUACUGGUUUUCUUGAGUACGCACAACGUUGGCGGAAUUCGUCGUGUAGCGGUGAAAUGCUUAGAUAUGACGAAGAACUCCGAUUGCGAAGGCAGCUGACGGGGGCGCAACUGACGCUUAAGCUCGAAGGUGCGGGUAUCGAACAGGAUUAGAUACCCUGGUAGUCCGCACAGUAAACGAUGGAUGCCCGCUGUUGGUACCUGGUAUCAGCGGCUAAGCGAAAGCAUUAAGCAUCCCACCUGGGGAGUACGCCGGCAACGGUG